rnacentral:rRNA from 1 species
GACGAACGCUGGCGGCGUGCUUAACACAUGCAAGUCGAACGGAAAGGCCCUGCUUUUGUGGGGUGCUCGAGUGGCGAACGGGUGAGUAACACGUGAGUAACCUGCCCUUGACUUUGGGAUAACUUCAGGAAACUGGGGCUAAUACCGGAUAGGAGCUCCUGCUGCAUGGUGGGGGUUGGAAAGUUUCGGCGGUUGGGGAUGGACUCGCGGCUUAUCAGCUUGUUGGUGGGGUAGUGGCUUACCAAGGCUUUGACGGGUAGCCGGCCUGAGAGGGUGAUCGGCCACAUUGGGACUGAGAUACGGCCCAGACUCCUACGGGAGGCAGCAGUGGGGAAUAUUGCACAAUGGGCGGAAGCCUGAUGCAGCGACGCCGCGUGAGGGAUGACGGCCUUCGGGUUGUAAACCUCUUUCAGCAGGGACGAAGCGUAAGUGACGGUACCUGCAGAAGAAGCACCGGCUAACUAUGUG